rnacentral:sRNA from 1 species
UUAGGUAUUAAAUUUUUCACCUGAUAUUGGUGAUUUGCUAUAUACAUCUGAUUUAGAUAGAAAACAAAAGUUAUACUUUGAGAUAAAUCCAAAACCCUAUAUUCUGGGGCUCUAUAAAUGUUAUUAAUUACCGUCUCUUUGUAGCGCUUACUCCACACAAAAUUGUAAUAUUUAAAAGAUUUAAAAACACCAAAAAGAGAUAAGUUAGUGUGAAUUGUGGAAGUAACAGCUAGAAUUCCAACGUGAAGGACGAUAGUGAAUGAAACAC